rnacentral:rRNA from 1 species
AGAGUUUGAUCAUGGCUCAGGACGAACGCUGGCGGCGUGGAUUAGGCAUGCAAGUCGAACGCGAAAGGGGAGCAAUCCCCAAGUAGAGUGGCGAACGGGUGAGUAACGCGUGAAGAACCUGCCUUCAACAGGGGGAUAACACUCCCAACGGGGUGCUAAUACCGCAUGAGACCACGGGUCUGCAUGGACCUGAGGUCAAAGGUGGCCUCUGCUUGCAAGCUACCGGUUGAAGAUGGCUUCGCGUCCCAUUAGCUAGUUGGCGGCGUAACGGACCACCAAGGCGACGAUGGGUAGCUGGUCUGAGAGGAUGGUCAGCCACACUGGGACUGAGAUACGGCCCAGACUCCUACGGGAGGCAGCAGUCGAGAGGCUUCGGCAAUGGGGGAAACCCUGACCGAGCGACGCCGCGUGGAGGAUGAAGGCCCUUGGGUUGUAAACUCCUUUUGUCGGGGAAGAAAUGCGAUCAGGUAAACAAUCUGGUCGUUUGACGGUACCCGGCGAAUAAGCUCCGGCUAACUCCGUGCCAGCCGCCGCGGUAAUAC